rnacentral:rRNA from 1 species
GCCAGAGCCAUAUGUCCCUGUAGUUCUUGCCAGAUCUCCCAUUGAAGCUAAGUAGGGUUGAACCUGGCCAGUACCUGGAUGGGAGACAUUCUGGGGAAAACUAAAGUUGCUGCUGGAA